AUUGAACGCUGGCGGCAGGCCUAACACAUGCAAGUCGAGCGGAUGAAGGGAGUUUGCUCCUGGACUCAGCGGCGGACGGGUGAGUAAUGCCUAGGAAUCUGCCUGGUAGUGGGGGAUAACGUCCGGAAACGGGCGCUAAUACCGCAUACGUCCUGAGGGAGAAAGUGGGGGAUCUUCGGACCUCACGCUAUCAGAUGAGCCUAGGUCGGAUUAGCUAGUUGGUGGGGUAAAGGCCUACCAAGGCGACGAUCCGUAACUGGUCUGAGAGGAUGAUCAGUCACACUGGAACUGAGACACGGUCCAGACUCCUACGGGAGGCAGCAGUGGGGAAUAUUGGACAAUGGGCGAAAGCCUGAUCCAGCCAUGCCGCGUGUGUGAAGAAGGUCUUCGGAUUGUAAAGCACUUUAAGUUGGGAGGAAGGGCAGUAAGUUAAUACCUUGCUGUUUUGACGUUACCAACAGAAUAAGCACCGGCUAACUUCGUG
rnacentral:rRNA from 1 species